GUAACGUGGAGUAGAUGUGCAAAGUGGGGUAAAUACGGAGUAAAAGUGGAGUAAACUGGGAGUAAAUGUGGAGUAAAAGUGGAGUAAAUCCGGAGUAACGUGGAGUAGAUGUGCAAAGUGGGGUAAAUAUGGAGUAAUCUGGAGCGGAAGUGGAGUAAAAGUGGAGUAAUGUGGAGUAAAGGAGUAAUAUGGAGUAAACGUGGUGUAAAAGGGGAGUAAAUGUGGAGUAAAUGUGGAGUGAAUGUUGAAAGUGGAGUAAAUGUGGAGUAAAAUGGGAUUAAAUCCGGAGUAACCUGGAGUAAAGGAGUAAUACGGAGUAAAUGUGGUGUAAAUACGGAGUAAUAAAGGAGUAAUAUGGAGUAAACGUGGUGUAAAAG
ensembl:lncRNA